GAGCAGACCAAGGUGUCGGUGGAGAACGGGGACGCCCCCAGCCCGGAGAAGAACGGGCCCCUGCCCUCGGAGCUGGAGGCGCUGAGUGCGGCGCUGC